CAGCCGUAAACUAUGCGCGUUAGGUGUAUCGGUGACCACGAGUUACCGAGGUGCCGAAGGGAAACCGUGAAACGUGCCGCCUGGGAAGUACGGUCGCAAGGCUGAAACUUAAAGGAAUUGGCGGGGGAGCACCACGACGGGUGGAGCCUGCGGUUUAAUUGGACUCAACGCCGGGAAGCUCACCGGAUAAGACAGCGGAAUGAUUGCCGGGCUGAAGACUCUGCAUGACUAGCUGAGAGGAGGUGCAUGGCGUAGACGUCU
rnacentral:rRNA from 1 species